rnacentral:lncRNA from 1 species
GCUGUAGACAUCACCAAGGAAGAGAAGUGAUGCUGGAGAAUAUCAGUAAACUGGUCUCAGUAGGAUAUCAAGUCUGCAAAAGAAAUGUACUUUCCCAGUUGGAACAGGAAGAAGUGUCAAGAGAAGUAGUUUUUCCUCAAUACCAGAAUCCAGGUGAGCUGUAAAGACCUCUGCAUUAGAAGAGGGGUCUCAUGAUAAGGUAUGUGCUUGUAUAUUUUAA